CCUACGGGUGGCAGCAGUGAGGAAUAUUGGUCAAUGGGCGCGAUCCUGAACCAGCCAAGUCGCGUGAGGGAAGACGGUCCUAUGGAUUGUAAACCUCUUUUGUCGGGGAACAAAAGACGCCACGCGUGGCGUUCCGCGAGUACCCGAAGAAAAAGCAUCGGCUAACUCCGUGCCAGCAGCCGCGGUAAUACGGAGGAUGCGAGCGUUAUCCGGAUUUAUUGGGUUUAAAGGGUGCGCAGGCGGUAGGUUAAGUCAGCGGUAAAAUUGAGAGGCUCAACCCCUUCGAGCCGUUGAAACUGGUUGUCUUGAGUGGGCGAGAAGUAUGCGGAAUGCGUGGUGUAGCGGUGAAAUGCAUAGAUAUCACGCAGAACUCCGAUUGCGAAGGCAGCAUACCGGCGCUCAACUGACGCUCAUGCACGAAAGUGUGGGUAUCGAACAGGAUUAGAUACCCCUGUAGUC
rnacentral:rRNA from 1 species